ensembl:lincRNA 2310069B03Rik RIKEN cDNA 2310069B03 gene
CUCACUCUUCUAACCCUCACCAGUUUAGGUCCACUGGAAAGGCCACCGGAGCAGGCUCGGUGGGUCCUGCAGACCUGCAGCGCAGGGUUCUCUGUUUCUCCCUUUAAAGACAGGAUAAUCGACGGGCAUGGUGGCACACACUUUUGGUCCCAGCACUCUGGAGGCUGAAGCUGAGGAUCUAUGAAUGCUCAUAUUCAUAAGGCAGAGAUGAGCCCCAACUCAAGACGCCGUACAGAAGUUGCAGUGGUUAACGUUGAAAUCGGAACUGUGUAAAGUGCAAAGAGUGAGCGUCAGUGGAGUGAGUGCCCAGGCACAGAUUGGUCCUCUCUACGGCACACAGUCCCACAAGGCUUCGGGACCAUAGCACACAGUGGAAGAGCGGAGGGAAAGAUUGUAAGCCAGAUGUCGAGAAAAACUGGAGUGACAUCGUCUUACGGAUAUGGAAUAUGGUCUAAUCACCGUGCUCACGAGCUCACAGUGCCCCGUAAUUGCCUUCACAAGACCUGUACAAGACCCAGCCUGUCAAUAAUUCCUGCAUGGAAUUAAGGCAUUCAUGAGCCCCCGCCCCUAACUGAGGAGCUGUGGAGAGUUACUAGCUUAUGAGAGAAGUGGGGGGGGUGGGGGGGAAGAGUUUUCUUUAAGGGUGUGGUUUCCCAGUUGGUUGACCAUGCUCCAGUGGAUAGCCCCACACCCAGAAGUAUGUGGGCAGCACAAAUUGGACCCCAUGGAUUAUUUAAAACCCACAGAAGACAGGGAGUAUAUGGGCUAACCUGAGAGGGGUAGGGAGAAGAGUGGAGAGUGGAUAUGACCAAAAUAUUCAGUAUAAAACUGUCAAGGAAUUAAUUAUAAUCUAUAUCCCUGCAUAAAGGAAUCUUUAUCUAUAUCCAUGUCCAUAUCUAUAUAAAGGAAUAGUCCAGGCGGAGGAGGUGGCUCCUUGCUUAAGCUUGCACUGCAGUCUCCCCAGGCAGUUCACAAUUGCCUAUGACUUCAGCUACAGAGGAUUUGACAUCCUCUUCUGCUCUCUUUGUGGGCAUUUACAUGUAUGUGCACACACAGAGACACACAUGUAUGUACUCAUUUUUUAAAAAAUCUUUAAAAGGAAUAAUCUGAAUUAUAAGCCUUGAGAAGGUAAGGGCCACCAUGUUCAAUUAAUGCCAGAUAUAUCAAUAACAUGAUCAAUUAAAAGUUGUUUAACAG